AGUGAACGCUGGCGGUAGGCCUAACACAUGCAAGUCGAACGGCAGCACAGUAAGAGCUUGCUCUUACGGGUGGCGAGUGGCGGACGGGUGAGGCAUACAUCGGAAUCUACUUUUUCGUGGGGGAUAACGUAGGGAAACUUACGCUACUACCGCAUACGACCUACGGGUGAAAGCAGGGGAUCUUCGGACCUUGCGCGAUUGAAUGAGCCGAUGUCGGAUUAGCUAGUUGGCGGGGUAAAGGCCCACCAAGGCGACGAUCCGUAGCUGGUCUGAGAGGAUGAUCAGCCACACUGGAACUGAGACACGGUCCAGACUCCUACGGGAGGCAGCAGUGGGGAAUAUUGGACAAUGGGCGCAAGCCUGAUCCAGCCAUGCCGCGUGAGUGAAGAAGGCCUUCGGGUUGUAAAGCCCUUUUGUUGGGAAAGAAAAGCAGCAGGUGAAUACCCCGCUGUUCUGACGGUACCCAAAGAGUAAGCACCGGCUAACUUCGUG
rnacentral:rRNA from 1 species